rnacentral:rRNA from 1 species
AUUGAACGCUGGCGGCAUGCUUUACACAUGCAAGUCGAACGGCAGCGCGGGCUUCGGCCUGGCGGCGAGUGGCGAACGGGUGAGUAAUACAUCGGAACGUGCCCAGUAGUGGGGGAUAGCUCGGCGAAAGCCGGAUUAAUACCGCAUACGACCUGAGGGUGAAAGCGGGGGAUCUUCGGACCUCUCGCUAUUGGAGCGGCCGAUGGCCGAUUAGCUAGUUGGUGGGGUAAAGGCCUACCAAGGCGACGAUCUGUAGCUGGUCUGAGAGGAGGACCAGCCACACUGGGACUGAGACACGGCCCAGACUCCUACGGGAGGCAGCAGUGGGGAAUUUUGGACAAUGGGCGAAAGCCUGAUCCAGCAAUGCCGCGUGUGUGAUGAAGGCCUUCGGGUUGUAAAGCACUUUUGGCGGGAACGAAAAGGACUGUGCCAAUACCACGGUUCGAUGACGGUACCCGCAGAAUAAGCACCGGCUAACUACGUG